CCCAAGGAGAAGUGAGUGAUGCAAUGGGUGCAAGAAGUAGCACCAGGGAGCAGUGUGGCAGAGCACUGUGAGGAGGAGGGCGCUUUAUCUGAGCUGUUCCAAAAACCAGGUGCUGUCAGCAGAGCAGCAGCCAGAGACAGGUCUGCAAUGCACCGCACGCAUUACUUAUAGAGUGCCCCUUACAUAGAGAGAGGGCAGGAAGAAAGUAAUGCACUAUUUGCAGUGGAGUACAAACCACAAGGCAUUCAUGUGGGUAUAAGGGACGCCUCUCCUUGCCAGGCAUGUGACAUUCACAGAAGCAGUAAGGGGAGGUGCUCCUGGAAUAGAGUGAAAUGCAUAAAAAAACCCAAAGAAGAAAAGUAUUCCCUAGCAUAGAUCUGCCCAGCCACAACGCUGGCCCCUUCACACAGUACAAGGGUUGCCGCGGCAACGUGGCCGGGACCUGUGACGUCACUUCCGGCGGAAGUGUCCUGCUCGUGGAGAUGGAUGCCGGGACCGAAACACGGCGGCAGCGGCAACCAGCGGGGGAUGGUCUUGAGGGGUGAGUGCACCUAUAAAUAUUGUUUUGUUUGCAAUGGGGGUUAUCCUGAUGAAGGGGCUACGGGCCCCGAAACGUUGAUGU